GACGAACGCUGGCGGCGUGCUUAACACAUGCAAGUCGAACGGAAAGGCCCUGCAUUUGUGGGGUGCUCGAGUGGCGAACGGGUGAGUAACAUGUGAGUAACCUGCCCUUGACUUUGGGAUAACUUCAGGAAACUGGGGCUAAUACCGGAUAGGAGCCCCUGCUGCAUGGCGGGGGUUGGAAAGUUUCGGCGGUUGGGGAUGGACUCGCGGCUUAUCAGCUUGUUGGUGGGGUAGUGGCUUACCAAGGCUUUGACGGGUAGCCGGCCUGAGUGGGUGACCGGCCACAUUGGGACUGAGAUACGGCCCAGACUCCUACGGGAGGCAGCAGUGGGGAAUAUUGAACAAUGGGCGGAAGCCUGAUGCAGCAACGCCGCGUGCGAGAUAACGGCCUUCGGGUUGUAACCCGCUUUCGCCUGUGACGAAGCGUGAGUGACGGUAAUGGGUAAAGAAGCACCGGCUAACUACGUG
rnacentral:rRNA from 1 species